AACCAAUAGCUCAGCUGGUUAGAGCAUGGUACUGAUAACGCCAAGGUUGCAGAUUUGAUCCCUGUAUGGAAUG